UCCAUUGUCGUCUAGUCCGGUUAGGAUACCUGGCUUUCACCCAGGCGACCCGGGUUCAAAUCCCGGCAAUGGAAUCA
rnacentral:tRNA from 1 species